rnacentral:tRNA from 1 species
AUUUAUAUAAUAUAACAAAUUAUAUUUAACUUCCAAUUAAAAAAUCUAAGUACUUAGUAUAAAUA